rnacentral:rRNA from 1 species
GAUGAACGCUGGCGGCGUGCUAAACACAUGCAAGUCGAACGGAAAGGCCCUGCUUGCAGGGUACUCGAGUGGCGAACGGGUGAGUAACACGUGGGUGAUCUGCCCUGUACUUUGGGAUAAGCCUGGGAAACUGGGUCUAAUACCGAAUAUGACAAUUGUUUGGAUGCGAUUGUGGAAAGCUUUUGCGGUAUGGGAUGAGCUCGCGGCCUAUCAGCUUGUUGGUGGGGUAAUGGCCUACCAAGGCGUCGACGGGUAGCCGGCCUGAGAGGGUGUACGGCCACAUUGGGACUGAGAUACGGCCCAGACUCCUACGGGAGGCAGCAGUGGGGAAUAUUGCACAAUGGGCGCAAGCCUGAUGCAGCGACGCCGCGUGGGGGAUGACGGCCUUCGGGUUGUAAACUCCUUUCGCAACCGACGAAGCCUUUUGGUGACGGUAGGUUGAGAAGAAGCACCGGCUAACUACGUG